rnacentral:rRNA from 1 species
AGGACGAACGCUGGCGGCGUGCUUAACACAUGCAAGUCGAGCGGAAAGGCCCUUCGGGGUACUCGAGCGGCGAACGGGUGAGUAACACGUGAGCAACCUGCCCCUGGCUCUGGGAUAGCCUCCGGAAACGGGGAUUAAUACCGGACAUUCACUGCCUGCCGCAUGGUGGGUGGUGGAAAGUUUUUCGGCCAGGGAGGGGCUCGCGGUCUAUCAGCUUGUUGGCGGGGUAACGGCCCACCAAGGCGACGACGGAUAGCCGGCCUGAGAGGGCGAUCGGCCACACUGGGACUGAGACACGGCCCAGACUCCUACGGGAGGCAGCAGUGGGGAAUAUUGCACAAUGGGCGCAAGCCUGAUGCAGCGACGCCGCGUGGGGGAUGAAGGCCUUCGGGUUGUAAACCCCUUUCACCAGGAGCGAAUUCAGACGGUACCUGGGGAAGAAGCGCCGGCUAACUACGCGCCAGCAGCCGC